UGUCCUACGGGAGGCAGCAGUGAGGGAUCUUGGGCAAUGGGCGCAAGCCUGACCCAGCGACGCCGCGUGGAGGACGAAGGGCUUCGGCUCGUAAACUCCUUUUCCCGUGGACGAGAGCAGGACGGUACACGGGGAAUAAGUCUCGGCUAACUACGUGCCAGCAGCCGCGGUAAAACGUAGGAGGCGAGCGUUAUCCGGAAUCACUGGGCGUAAAGGGCGUCUAGGCGGCACGACAAGCGAGGGGUGAAAGCUUCUGGCUCAACCAGGAGAGUGCGCUUCGGACUGUCGAGCUUGGAGGGCAGGUGAAGGGGGUGGAAUUCCCGGUGGAGUGGUGGAAUGCGUAGAGAUCGGGAGGAACACCAGUGGCGAAAGCGGCCCCCUGGCCUGUAUCUGACGCUGAAGCGCGAAAGCGUGGGGAGCAAACGGGAUUAGAUACCCUGGUAGUCC
rnacentral:rRNA from 1 species